AGAACGUUCGUAUUUAAGCGGGAAUCAUUUUAAUUUGCUCUCCAUGCCACCAAUCUAACCAACCAAUCGCGUGUAGCAUGCUUUAAACAAAAACAAAAAAAGUUUUUGAAAUCGUCACAUAAACAAACUAAUCGACAAGACGAGGGACAAAUGACAAGGGAUAUAUCUGUUGUCUUUUAUCCCUCUAUUCCCCACUAUUCACGGAGCCUGAGGUGAAUAAUUGUUAAUUAAAUAGUCUAGAUAGAUAGAUAGCCUAGUCAAGUCUUUAUUAAUACCAAACGACACAAAUCGUCGGGAAUCCAUUUAGGUGGUUCGGCCCACACAGGACAGUAGCCUACAAGACCACACAGAACAAGUCUGACUGGACAUACACACAAUACAUCACAUUAAAACUAGACACGCGUUGAUAGAUAGAUAGACAGAUAGGCCGAGAUAGAUAGAUAUCACCCAGGCCUCGACAUUAACGCUUGCCCGCUUGCCCGGGGCAACCAAAAGUCAUAUUUGGGCAAGUUGAGAUUGAUUUCUGGUUGCCCGAACGGGCAAGUGGAUUUUGGGUGGAUGUUAAUAGAAAGGCUAUUUAUUCAGAUGUUUUUAGAAACUGCAGAACAACCUUUGUAUUUGCAAUUGAUCAGCGCGCCGUCUUCUCUUCUCUCGGAAAGCGAGUUGACAGACCCGCAUCGCUUCAGUACGAAUAUAGCCCCGCCUUCUGUCACAUUGUUGGUCAAAAAGUCAGUGCGUUCUCUGGCCGUGAUUCGAAGGUGUUGGCUAAAGGUUAGCCAACAAAGCUAGCAUCGAAAGUGCAGCGCCUCCGCGAACGGUUUAGGUAGAAGGAAAAUGGAGUAGUGAUGGAGGAGUGCAGUUUGGAAGUACUUUGGAUUGAGGCAAAUUACCAAGGAAAGUCAUAUGCAAGAACACGGUUUUGGGUUUCAUAACUGUGCACAUGCACAGCAAUAGCGAUCUUUUUCACGAAAUUGGACCCUCACAAACUAUAUAUUACAUGAAAGCUGAGCCUCCACUUAUUCCAACAGUCCAAACCAUAUCAUUCUGUGACUAAAACUCGCAAAUAACAACUUAAGAAGAAACGUCCCCUUUUCUUUUAACAACCAAAAAUGAAGUAUUACCUUUGUGAUUUUUGUCAACAAAGUUGAUUCUGGUCGAAUAAAACCACCAUAAACGGAUAACCCAGUGUCUGGGCCAAAUUUUGCAACUAAACAUGGUAUUUUCAAUCAAUGAAUAAGAGAAGGUUUCUUAGGAAAUAGGUAAAUUGCCUUCAAUCAGAAAACUUAUUCUUCAGCGCAAUCUAGUGGCCAUAUGUUUAUUUGCGAGUGUUUGGCUUGGUGCAUUCUAAUAUAUUUGCCCUGAAAUUUAAAUAGAGGUGUCAAAAUUGUAAGAUAUCUACCUUUAUUUGUGUCUCAUAGUAAGACAUCGCUCCCAAAUGAUAACGACCAACUGAUAAUUAUUUCAAAUGUUAUCUUCCACUUAUGCUGUGUUCCAUGGCUUUAUUCACUUUAACCAAGUAUCAUCCCCAUUGAAUAUUUCACUUGCACAACAAUCUUUCUUAUGGCACAAAGAUGACAUUAUCGCCCUUGCAGUUUUGGAGAUAUACUCUAUUUACUUUGGGUAUG